UCAUCAAUCGAUCACAAGGACGGUUGAUAUGCAUGUUUCUCUAGAAAAAUCCAUUCCACAACAUGAAGAAGAAGAAGAAGAAAAGAAGAAACAACAGCAAGAAGAAGAAACGACUAAAUGAACGGGAAAUUAGAACAAUCUCUGUUUUUCGCCAUCUAUAUCAGAUCCAGAGAUCCUGACCAAAAGGUGAUCGACAAGAUGGAUCGAACGACGGAUUUGAGGACAAAAAGAUGCAAAAUUUACAGAUAAAGAUGGAUCGAACGACGGAUGAAUUGACGGAUUAAGAUGAAGUUACCCUCCGCAGCCGUUGCCGCACUUGCAGCCGGACCCGCACCCGCAGUUGCCUCCGCAGCACGACAUGGUCGAUUGAACGAUGUAGAAGAUGAGCACACAAAAGGGAUCUGAUGAAGAAGAGGAAUUUGCCAAUUUGGUGCUUUGAUCUGCUCUGCUCUGCUGGGGGUGGUGUUCAUAGAGCAGGGAGAGCGGGGAUCCGCCGUCCACGACCGUGGAUCGCUGGCGACGUGGACGGCGACGUGGACCGUCCAUUUGUCCGUGUGACCUGUGAGAUUCCCCUUCUGCCCCUUCCGCGCUCACAUGCCCAGCUCACCGUCCAAUGCAGUCAUCAAUCCAUUCCUUGUACAGUAUCAUCCGGCCAAAAGUUUACUGGCAAAUCCCUUAAAAAAAAAGAAAAAUUUACUGGCAAUAUUCCGAUCCAUAAAUAUCUUUGCUGGUAUACUCAAAUGCUGCAUGCAGAUCAUUAUCGAUCUUUUUGUUUUUUUUGGCUCUGUGUAAUCCCGAGAAUGGCACGGGCUGCAUGGCAAUGGUGCCACGUGCGUGCAAGCAUCCACUCAUAUUACUAGCGCUAUUCUUUAAUCUAGGCAAGAUAUUUUACGGCUGAAUAUAGAAAGAACUGGAAAUAGCUAGCUAGCUAGGUCUGACCCGAUCACCUUUUGCGCCUUUCCUGUCAUCACUCUGUAGCAAUCUUUAUUCCACGUUCUGCGUCUCGUUUUAUUCUUCUUUGGAUUUUGGAUGAGGUUGAUGCCCAAAAGUGAUUCCUGCUGCUCUUGUGGAUAAGAUCAAUGCCGUGGUCGUUCCCCCGAUACACUUUAAUAUUACAGUAUCUGGUAGUAAAGAAACUUGUAGGUGAAAGAAAUAUGGAAGACAUUUUAUAUCAUAAGGGAGAAGAAUGCAUGUUCAAUUUUUUGUUCAGGGUUCAGGAAAGGAGAAUACGUCUAGUGUGCCGGGUACGGUGUACAUCAGUACACGGAGACCAGAGGCCUGGGUCGUACGCAGCCUGAUGCUUCGGGCCGUACCGGGCAACAUCAUGGGCCGGAAAACAAUUCAGGCCAAAAAAAAGUAGAAGUACGGAGUAAUUAAGAUUUCUUUUCCACGCAUAAAUUUGCAAAAGAACUGUGAAGCUCUUGUAAUUUUUUCAUGUCACCAGUUGUUGAGGUUCCUAUUGUUCACAGUUAUCAACCUGCCGCUCCUAAUGUUCCUAAACAGCUGUAAGGGGCACAGCCUGCCUGAAGAUAAGUGCCACUCAGCUCGAACAUCCCAGCCAAGCCAAAGCUCACAAAAUAUUGUUAAGACUUAAACUCCCAUCCUGUCAGUUCAAAAAAAUAAAAAUAAAAACGCCCAUCCUGUCCCUGCUGUAGCAACCAAGCAGAAAAAAAGUACUGAGAGGGAAGACAGCCUCAAGCUCCCCGCAAAGCUCCAAGCCUUCCAUUAACAUUGUUAUGGGAAACCAGGACAACAAUUAAGCUCCCAGGCAGGCUUGCCUUCACAUUGUGUAUUUAGCCUUGACAAAUGUAAGUCUGCAAGGAGUGGAAAAGGGUCGACAAGUCGGGUUUUUAUACUUCUUUGCAUAUUUUCAGUGAAAGUUAUGUGAACUCGCCUUUUCAAAUGUCAGUCAUUUGAGCCUGUCAUAACAGAACAUGGAAUGCAUCCCAUACAAGUGAAACUGAUACAAUGACAUGUCAUACACUGGUAUCUCUUCUGAGGAGAAAACAGGACUGAUUGCAUGAACACUCUGGACUAGAUAAAUCACUAGCCAAAAGAUGAGAUACAACUUUGGGUAACUAUCAAGCCAAACCAAGUGGCUAGCUAGCUAUCUUGUGAGCAGCAGAGUUACAAACACGAGGACAGUACAACACAUUGAGAUCAGAGAAUCACCAGUAAUGUUGAGUAAGCUUAAAGUUCUGGAAGCUUCCAGAAUUGCAUGACUGACAUUUGACAAACAGCUGCUGCGCCAACAUUUUUUAACCUGGGUAUAAAUUCUGAGAUAGAGAGUGCAUUUCCAAAAUUCAUUCAUCUUACAACUCAACAUCCAAAACUUCUUUAGCAACUGCUCUAAACGAAUGAAUUUCCUAUUUAAGACCUAAUUAACAGCAACAUCCAGAGAUCACUGCUUCGUCUUCCCAGAAAGAACCAAACUAAUGUAUACUUGAGAAUGAAUCACCCCCUUAACAUUUCUGAAGUGCAGAGAGCAGCUAAACUAACAAAAAGGGGCAAAAAAUUAACAUGACUAGUAUCUAGCUUAGCUAUGGCUAGGCUCAAAACUUUGCAAGCUGGAGAGUGAGCUCGGUCAGAAGCUUGUCCAACACAGAGUCUGCCAGCUUGUUGCCUACAUGAUCAGCGUCUCUCUGAAGGUUCAUCCAGUGGUCAGCCUUGGCCAGGUCAUUAAACACGAUGGCGCUGAUCUCGGUGCCGCCGGGCCGGUCCAGGUGGCAGCUCAUUCUGCACUGCAGCUCCCUGAGUGCUUGGUCUCCGACAGGCUUCGGCGGAUCGAAAGAGAAGAAGCGGGAGGCCUUGGAUUUGCUAGCAGAAUACGACUUGUAGAUGUCGAGCAACGCUUCGUUCGUCACGUCGAACAGAAGCAGCUCGUCGGCGCACAUGUCGGUGAAGUCGAGCGGCGCAGAGUUAAUUUGGAGCAAAUAUUGACACAAUCAAAUGAAAAGGAAUGGCCAAAUAAAUUAGUACAAAUAUGAAGCUCUGGAGAAUUGCUUCCACGUGCAUUUCGUCAAACAAUUCAUAUGCACCAUUAACUUGUUGCAAUAGUGCCAACUCUCAGGAACAAAAAUCUUACAACCAAAACAAGGUUUUCUAGUUAUAGUGUCCCCACAUGAUUGAUUCCCCAAAAUAUUAAUAAAGCAGAAUGAUUAAUAAGACCAUGUGCAUUAAUAAGAAUAUUCAUAAAGCACACUUACAAGUUACAAGGUUUAAGAAGCAACCACUGGCGUCAGGCAAGCCAGUAGGCGAGACCGACGAAUGAACUUGAGAAAUCCGCCUACACCGUCGCUUAGCCAUCACAUUCACAGGGGCGCUGGCCAGGGGCAUAGAGGAGCUGGCGGUGGCCCUCCAGCACUACGACCGGUGGACAGCUCAACGAAACGCAACUCGAUCUUUGCAGAGCCCUAGCCGCCUGAGAUGCUGAAGACCUUGAUGUGUGGUACACAGAGGCGGCUGUGUCAUCCUUGGAAGUGGCCGCUGGUGAGGCGCAGGGCCUAAGGCAGGUUCUUGCUGUGCAUGGUAAGAGAGAUAUAAACAUAGGUGACAUGAGAAGAGUGUUUGAAAUGUUGUUUAAUCCAAAAUUCAUAGAGAAGACACUACUAGCUACAUUCUGCCCACACCUACGGACUGACAAGCAUAAAAAUGGUGCAGCUCAGCUCGAUGCUCAAUCUGAGAUCUGUUCAACUUUCUCUGACGUUUUUUUUAUAACUCAAAGAGUGGCAGUACAAGAAAACAUUGGAAAAUCAGUUACAGUUAUUAUUACAAUCCAAAUAGCAUGAACCAUGAACCAAAGGAAUUAAAAUUCAACAAAUCGUCCAUCAGCUGUAGGUGAAUUCACCUGAACCCCAUGACUAAAAUAAAUGUAACGGAAACAAAUCAACAACAUUGCAUCCAAGCAUUCAAUAACAGAAACCUUCAAUUGUACGACAAUCCGACUCAGAUCAAAGAGUCGCAUCCCACUUCACGAUAUACGAUGAAGGAUUCUGAUGAAUUCACCGAACAGCUGGUUCUGCAAAGGCCGCGUGUGUGUGUGUGUGAUCAAUCUGAUCUUUCGAGCAGCCCGCAAAAAAAGGGUCUAAUCUUUGAGUGUUAUCAACUUAUAGCCUUCUUUUUCAUAAGCCCCGGUAUUGUCCUGUAAGAAGGGGAACAAGUUGGACAUAAGUUCGGUUGGCAAUAGUGGAUAAUAAUUUUAAGUGGAUGUGGAAUGCCCCCAGUUUCAGAACCAAAAAGUAAGAAUAACAAAUCGCAGUAGAAAUAGAGCAAGUUUUUCAUAGCUACCUGCCUACUACGUUCUUUUCAAAAUAUGGUCCUUUUAAAUCUGUUUUGGUCAAAUCUCUUUUAACUAUUAGUUACUAUAGAGCUAUUAACAUUAUCUGAACUGCUUGUUUUCAAAAUAGUGGAUAAUAACAUUAUCUGAACUGCUUGAUUUCAUCAAUGAAAUCGGGAGCUUGCUCCUUGUUCCAAAGAAAGAGCUAUUAACAUUGACAACAUCAGAUUGAUACUAAUAAAUCUAUCGAUAACAGAUAUUUUCGUUUAAAGCAAUAUAUUUUCAAAUAAAUUGCUAGUCAACGUAGAACAGAGAAGACCAUGUCAAUGUCCUAAACAGAACAAGUCUUUACUCCUAUAAAAGAGGCAAUCGGUGGUGGUGGUCCGUCAUUCCUUAUGUUAUAAAAAAAACUCCUCAACUUUUUUAAUGUAAACAAUAAAUCUAUUGCAAUAGGCUGGGGUGAUAAUGAUGUUUGCCACCAAAGUUGAAUAAAGUCAUCAACAAAUACCAUUAAUAUGUAAUAAUAUUUUUUUAGACUAAUUUAGCCAUAGCAACUAAUUUGUUUUAUCCGUAGCAACGCACGGGUAUGUCGCUAGUAUUUUUUACAAGGCGGAGUAUAUCAAUCACUCACCUGUCUAACUGUAGAGAGAUUCAUCCGGAAAGAUAUUAUGGCCAUCUGCUGCAACAUAGACUAGGACACCUUGUUCUUCUCCCGGGACUAGACACCUCUUGAACUGUUGCUCGUGCUGGCAGCCAACCAUGUACACACGUUUCAGCGAGAGUAGGUUCUCUGCCUGAUCCAGUGCUGGGCAGUCCUGCGCAAAAAGGUCCUGCAGAUUGAAGAGAUUGGAGAUCUUCUUCAUACAUGAGUUGUUCUUCACCUUCAGCCACACAACUUCAGGAAGGUCGACAACUUCUUGCAGCUUGUGAGCACCUUCAAUAUGGAUUCUCUUCAGGUUUUUGAAGAAGCCCGGAGGGAGAGCUUCCAGUUUUGGGCAAUCAAGAAGCAGCAGACGGUCAAGUUUAGGCAUCAGAGAUAGGUGUUGAGAAUUGCCCUCUAUGUUAUCACAGGGAUUCCCAGUAUCGAGGGACCAACGUUCCAAAUUACACAUCCGAAUGAUCAGAAGCAGUACAAGAUCUGGGAAAAAGACCGGGGGACUUCCGACUCCUCUCCCCAGGAGUCCUGCCCCGAUGGUCUUAACAGCAUCUGCACCUUCAAUCUUGAGAACUUGCAGUAGUGGUAUCUGACCUGCUGGUGGAAGCUCUGAACAUGACAUGCAAUCACAGAGGUGCAUAUGACACAAAUUUGGCAUGUGAAGCUCUGGCUCUGAACGUAUCCAUUCUGGGAACAUUGUACCCGGGAAACCAACAAGAAAAAUAUAUACUAGGCUUAGUGAUGGAAUAAGCAUAUCAAAGACUUUCUGAAUCCUCUCUAUCUCAUUGGCCUCGUAGCAAGUUCUAUCAUGAGUACUCAUGCCGAAUGUGCAGCCGAGUCCCAGUUCCCUAAGAGAACUGUUCUUCAGUACAAGUUCACCCCGUGGUUCUGCUUUCUCCAGUUGCUCGACCCACAGACGUUGGAUAUUGGGGAGGCGUCGCAAUUCAUCUAAUCUGAACCCAGACCCACUCUCAAAAACUCCUCUUAGGUUGUAGAGCUGCUGAAAAUUUGCAAUCCCUUUUGGAACAUGAUCAAGUGCAGUAUGUUCUAGCUCAAGAUAACUUAUCUUGUGCAAUCUCAUUAAUGUAGCUGGGAGGCUAUGCAGCUCGUGGCAACCACACAAACGAAGGUAUUCGAGGCUGAUAAGGUUUCCUGUGGAUUCUGGAAGUUUCUUAAUUUCCGUAAAGCUUAGAUCGAGUAACUUCAGCAGUACCAAGUUUCCCACUGAUUCUGGUAUGUAUUGGAUGCCUGUUCCACAGAGAAUUAAGACACGAAUAUGCUGCAGCAUCCCUAAGAUGUCAGUGUGAACUGACUUGAAGUUCUUGUUAUCAAAAACUACGAGGGUCCUCAAGCACUUGUGAUCAUGUAAAGCGGGCAAUUCUUCUACAGCAUUGCUGAUCCCUAAGCGGCGCAGAUUUGGUAGGGCUCCGCUAUUUUCCACGUUCAUGAAUAAGGAGUGAUCAUUUUUCACAUUCAUGAAUAAGGAGUGGUCCUUUGCCAGAUGUUGUCCAAGUGACCUCAAGAGAUCAUGCAUAGUGGACUCACCUUUGUCUAUAAACUCUGGUCUUGGUUGCAGAAGAUUUCUCCUAAUUAGUUCAAGGUAGUACCCUUCAGCAGUCUCGUAGAUCGAGUUAACAUGCUCUUCCCUCACAAAACCUUCGGUAGCCCACCAGUAAGCAACAGCAUCGCGACGGAUUACAAAAUUAGGAGGCAACAAAGCACACCAGCGAAAGCACUGCUUGAGUUGAGGGGGUAAGUUGCUGUAACUCAAAUACAGGGCGUCUCCAAGUUCUUUGGGAAGUCCUUGAACAGACCAUUUGCUAUCUCGGAUGCUCUUCCAUUCUGCAGCUGUUCUUCUGGUGGACAGAACACCAGCAACAACCUUUAUAGCAAGAGGAAGGCCAUCACAUUUCUUUACAAUUGCACGCCCCAACUCCUUGAAUAUACUACCCGAUGGUGGGAAGGAAUCCUUCAUAAGCAGCAUCAGGCCAUCAUCCUCACCCAUUCUUUUUACAUAAUGAGUGUAAGCUGCAUGCAUUCUUUGUAAAACUUCCUUGCUUCUUGUGGUGACAAGAAUGCAGGCAAUCAAGGCUCCAUAGAAAGGCGACUGAAGAAGAUUGAUCCAGACGUCAGGCUGCAACAUAUUAUCCAAUACAAGAAAAACACUCUUUCCUUUGAUGGUGUCCCUUAGAAUUGGCAAAAGUUCAGCAUUGCUCUCUUCUUUAUCGUAAUUUCCCCCGGCCAUCCGUAUCACCUGCUUUAGCAACUCAGUUUCGUUGUAGGUCUCAGAAAUACACAACCAUAUAUGAAUCUGGAAUCUCCCUAGUAUCCUCUGGUCAUUAUAUAUCUUCUGAGCUAAUGUUGUCUUGCCAAUGCCUCCCAUUCCUUCAAGCCCCAAAACACUUGGCUCCUUAUUGUGGCACCUAGUGAGAAUCUCAUCUACAAUGGAAUCAACGUCACGUCUGAUAGCUGCUCCAACAAGCCCUGGUUCAACUAUCGGAGCAGUCUGGCUUGUAUUCACACUUUUUAUCUGGGGCUGUGGAGAUCUGAGUAUCCCAGGGGUGAACAUCUCUGAUGUCCUUCUAAUAUCAUCAAGCUCUAUGUUUAUGCUCCUAAUUCUUGUAGCAACCCUGUGGUCAUCCAAAAGCUUUGCAAAACAAGAGAACAUGAAGCAAUAUGAUGACGAUCUAUGUCGCAUAUGUGAAUGAACCAUAAAAAGAUCUAUGACAUCAUCAACAUUGAACAUGACAUCGCUGAUGCGCUUCCACCAUAAAUUGAUCGAUGCAUCUCUCAUGGCCUGAUCUUCGGCAUCCUGACGAACUGCCCUGAAGCAUUCCAGAUUUUGCUUGAGCUUCUUGAUAUCCCUUCCCACAUAUAAUGUCAUGACAACCUCCUCCUCAAGAAGCUGAGUCAGCUUUCUCAAGGAGCUUGAAACGAGACCAUCCAAAACUGUCGCCAUAGUGUCUAAACCUGCGAAUUCUCACUCAGUGACCGUGAGACAGUUUGCUUGGUAAGCUCACCAAUCAAUCAUAGGUCCCUGCUGAAGAGGGCCGGGUAGUAAGCCGGUCUGCCCUGCAGCCAACUUCUCACAUCAUGGGAUGCCCUUCGCUGCACAAGUCAUCAUGUGACAAUAGUUUUAGAACCAAUGCCUUAUUGCAUGGUACAUACAAAUUCAUUUACUUAGAUGUUUGAGGAAAAACUAUUUAACGAAAAAAAUUGUAGGAAAAAACUCUGAGAAAAAGGAGGAGAUUCCUUUAACAUUAGUAAUAAUCUCUAACAGCUCAGAAUAACCAGAGGUUAAAAGUAUAAUUUAUUCUGGAAGACAAUAUCAGAAGAAACUAAAUGGAAGCUCGGAAUGACCGGAAAGUAGCAAAACUGACGAAAGCGUGGAACCGAGAAAUUAGUGAUACUCCAUUUAGUUGAUUUGCUGUAGGAACAAUGUCAUACCAUGAUAUAGAAGCAGCGACAAAAAGGCCGCUGUGCAGUGGUGGUCUGCUCUCCUGUUGGGAUGAACAACGAAAAGAUCGACAAUGUAGUAUUCGCAAUUCAGGAUCGUAAGAAUGAAGAACCGGCUGGUGGGAAAGGAAUUGGUCGCUGUGCCUCGCUGUAGAUGAGUGAUAAUGACUCUGUACCUGCUGGGAAGCGGGAGGACAAGGGGAAUCUCCUGCCUAGAUGGGAUCAAGCUAGCUCAUGUUGGAUGGUUGCUUACAAACUAAGGCUCUACUUCUCCCUGCAUCGUUGCCUUCGUUUUGCUCCUUUGAUGCGAGAAGAGAGCCGCUGAGGUGUGGGCAUCUGCCAAUCUGCUUUCUUGCUGUAGAAAGUCAAAGCAGAAUAGCUACCUAAUAAGUUUCUUAAAAUGAUUGCCUUAAUAUAAAAUUAUCAAGAAAACGACAACAGCUGCUGCAGACUUGCAAGCGUUUAAGUCUUGUUUAUUUAUUCAGCCAUAAUAUAAUACCAUGAUGGUUAUCCUCGAUCGUCUACUUGCACUGACAAGACCUCAACUAGUGGUACGUAUUAGUAUCAUUACCAGCUAGGCUUGGCGCAAGAUUUUAAUCAGGACCAACGAAAUGUUCACCUAAACAAAGAGGAGCAGCGAGCGGAACGAGGAACCGCACAUGGACAUUUCGUCGAACAACUCACAUGCCUAUCAUUUUCGUCACUCUCCUUGCACCUUGCAGUACUCACGAAGUCACCAAAAGAAUCAGGCGAGUCAAAGACUGGACAUUUGGAAGCAAAGGGGCUUACAAUGUUUAAAGCAGCAACCACCGGCGUCGGGGAAGCCAGCCGGCCGGCCGGCGACGGCGAGGUCCACCAGAAUCCGCCGCCGCUUAAAGAUCAUAUUCACGGGGGCGUUGGUAGUCUCGACGGCGUCCCUGAAUCGGCGGUAGGUGCGGUGGAUGUCAUGGCACGCGCCUUCUCCAUCUCGCCGCCGUCCGCCGGAUCCUUGAGCUUUUUUUUUUUUUUGAGGGGGGCGGAUCCUUGAGCUUAAUAAAUCUACGAUCUGGUUCUACUACAGAAUAACGAAUCAAGAGGUUCACAGGACCACGCUAUUACAAUGGGCUGGGAUGGGCUGAGAAGAUGGGCUUGGGCUAUAAAAACCCUCGCUGGCUGGAUGAUGUUUUGACCGUAGCGUGAAUGCAUAUUCCGCUAUUUAUACUUAUGUAACGAGCUUAACGAGUUUAGAUUUCAACUUGUUAUGCUAACAAGUCGAGCUGGCUCGUUAUCAACUUAUCACCUACGGCAAUAAAUCAAUUUGACCCAUCCAAAAUCACAUGAAUUUUUCCUUGUACAAAUUUAUCUGAUUCACAGCAGCAUUUGUGCAGUGCAUCAUCACCGCAUGAAAUGCAGUACCCGAGAUUCAUGCACGUUCCAACUUAAUUGCAUGAUGGCAAUUAUGCUAUUUCCUCCGUCUCAAAAUAACUGAUAUACAAAUCCAAAUCAUUUAAUUUGGGACGGAGGGAGUAGAUGGAAGCAUCAUGUCUGGGUUGUUUAACCCAAAAACUCACAGAUAAGAUGCUAGAAUCUACACACACGCGCGCGCGUGCUGACAGACAAGCAUAAAACGGUGCAGCUUGAUGCACAAUCUGAGAUCUAGGGAAGGAACUAGUACAAGGCUUGGUGAUGGAAUGAGCGUAGCAAAGACUUGGUGGAUUCCCUCAAGUCCUCAACGAUAUCGGCCCCAUAGCGAUCGAGUUCUGUCAUGAGUACUCAUGCCAAUUGUGCAGUGGAGUGCCAGUUCUCUAAGAUUACGACUGUUCUUCAGUGCAAGUUCACCCCUCUGGCCAGCGGAACACGUCAAAGAUUACAAGUUUGAUAGAUUUUUUUUAACGAACAAGUUUGAUAGGUAGUGUCUCGUGGCUCUGGCUGUUUAGAUGACGUGGGCCGUAUGCUUUCAGUCGAUAGGUUGACCGGACGCUCGUUCCGCACAAACCGUACGCGCGGCGAGACGGUAGCGCGUAUGGUCGCGCCAUAGUCGCUUUUGUGGGAGGGCGGGAAAAAAAAAGUAAAGAGAAUGUUUCGGCCUUUCAGUUCUCGGCUUGGCGUGAGUUCUUGCUAGCGUGAGCGGCAAGUGUCGUUAAACUAUGUGGGCGUGUGAACUACUGUCAUCCCGUUAUCCUUGAUAAUGGAAUCGAUCGCAUGAUCGUGACCAUGAACUCAAGCUGGGCAUAAUAAACUGAGGAGCGGAAAACCGAGACCGGACUCGAAAUCACCGAAACCGAUAAAUUCGGUCAUCAAUCGGUAAAUCGUUUUCUAGCAUCAGGUAACCGAAUUGACCCGAAUAAACCGAACAUGGGCCUGCAGCGUGUAGAAAAGCCUAGCAGGCUAGCUCAAGUGCUCAACUCUCAAAAGCUAACGGGAAAUGCAGCCCACCACAGGAGAAACCCCGCACUGACAAGGCACGUGUAAUCCAUCUGACCGUGAGUCUCACCGAGGCUCCUCGGUCCGGGUCUUUGACACAAUUACUGAUCCGCCAACCUUAGAAGUUUUGGCUUGUUGCGAGACGCUAACUCUGGCAAAGGACCUUGACGCGAAAGAGCUCUACAUUGCGUCUGAUGCUUCGGAUGUCAUCAAGGGUAUUCUUGGAGGAAAUCGGUGUGCGUAUAGUGCUAUUUUUCGUGAAAUUGCAGUUCGUAGUAGGGAGUCUAAAGAUGUUAUUUUUGUUCAUGAGGGUCAGGCAUCGAAUAGCGAUGCCCAUAGUUUAGUUAGGAGCUCUUUAUCGUUGCACGGGAGGCAUGUGUGGCUUGAUAAGCCCUGGAACAAUAUUGUACCCAUGUUUUUGAAUUAAUAAAGCCGUGUCUUUCACUCAAAAAAAAAAUCUGAUCGUGAGUCCCAGUACGAUCGGUUCCUCAGUCUGAACCAAAACCAAACCAAAAUAAUCGGUGGACCGAAGCCUCGGUUAGCAAUUUUCAAAGAAACCGAUCGGUCAGCAAAUAUGGAAAACUGAAAUUUCAAAAAAAACCGAGAGACUGAACCAGUCGGUUCGGUUAGACCGAACACCCUGACCGUCCUUAUCCGUUAGUCGAUCAUGAGCCAUUGGACUUUAAGUUUCCACUCUUGGCCUCACUUGCUUCUAUAAUGCUGAAUAGAUGAAUUUUCUCAUAGAUUUAUAUAUAAUAUAUAAAUAUUUUCUGGUGCUUUUCAAGCUUUUCUUUUGUUUUGUUUUGUGCGGCUCUACAGCAUGCGACAAACUUAUUUCACCUUUCAAAUGCUAAUAAUUAGCCAAUAGUAAGUUCCAUUGGAGAUGGCAUGAAUCAUCAAUGAAGAAAUGGAAGCACUGCCUAAAGAUUUUAUUGAAUACAAAACAGUACAAUAGUUUUCCCUGACGAUGAAUUAGAAAUACAUCAUGAGUAGUAGCAAAGCCAAACAAUGAUCACUAGAGACAGAUUGAAAACUAUUAUCAGAAGAGAGCAGGCGGAACCAUAAGAGAAAUCGAUGAGGUCACACACUGUUAAGAAUCCUCGCGUCGACAGUUUCACCCAACUGAUAUGUGAGCUUCACGACAGGCCAUAGGAAUGUUAGGGAAACGAAAAUGGGAAACGAAGCUGCCCCAACACAAAUUAGAAUGGCCAGCCAGUGAGAAUGCGGAGCCAGCACCGUGUAUAAACCGGUCGAGAAGGCUAUAGUUGUCAUCACGUAUGCAAACAACAUGAUGUAUUUAGCAACGGCUUUGUAAUAAAUCAAGUACUCGUAAUCCUCAAACCUUGCUAGGAUGCAUGCAAAAGCGACACCAAGCGAGGAGCACGUGGCUAAGAUGUCAGAGACCAAGAAUGCCUUAAAUGCCACCUUCCCAGACAUGUUUGGAAGCCCCUUGCUGUUGUAUCCUCCGGGAAGAGUGAAAGCAGCCGCAAAGGUGAUUGUCGCAAUGAGGAUUGCCACUAAUGAGGUGUUGGUCACGUAUCUUUGAGUUAGUAACAUCACAUUGUUCCUUGACAUGUCCGUCGCAUGCUGCGACAUCCGCCUUUUAAGAUUAUUGAUAGAGGAGACAUGUUGGCGAUCAGCUUCAUUGAUAAGGCUUAUCACUUUAGUCUGCAUGGAUUCGAAGAGGAAUAUAUAACUAAAUGGAGCUCAGAGUGUAAUAAUUACGGGUAAUUUUAAGUAGAGGAAAUAUGAUUCAAGAAGGCAUGUACUAUAUCAUUGAUUGGUAACGCACUAAAUUAUGACUACAUAUCUAAAUGAGAUGUAUUGAGUAUAAGUGGAUCGAAAGUGAAUUUCGUUCGUACUAGUACGACGGAAAAAAAGCACGUUAAAUAAAUAAUACAGAGUAGUAAUUGUUAGUACAUGGUCAUUAAUUGCUUUUGUAGUGUAAUAGCGCAGAUAUAUAAUCCCUUUGUUUGUAAAUAUGUAUAAAAUGUUGGAAACGUUUGACCAAGUUUAUAGAAAAUCUGUGAACAUUACAACUCUAAUAAGUUUUAUUAAAUGGGUCUACUUAUAUUUAUCUGACAUUGCACGUGUUAGUACAUUUAAGCAUUUUUUUUAGAAAAGUGCAUUUAAGCAGUUUGACUUACAACAAAGCUAUAGAAAUCUUAUACUCCAUCGGAAAACUUCUUGUCAUUGUUUUAGUACAAAUUUUGUACUAAAACAACGACAAGAAUUUAGUAUUAGAAAUUUUGUACUAAAACAACGAUAAGAAUUUAGUAUCGGAGAGAGUAUCUAGGAGCGGAGGUAUAGUGUACAUACGUACCCCGUUUAAUGUUUCGAGACUUUCCUGGUUGACCAUCAAUGCCCAAACUGCCGGGUUACCGUUGUUGGUAAUCACUGUCGUAUCUAUAUCUGAGUGAGACAGCAAAGCCUUAACUAUCUGAGGAUUGCACUUGAAGACAGCGAUGUGUAGAGCUGUUCUUCCGCCUGCGUCUUGCAUGUUAACGACUUUGCCAAGCUGUGGUGUCCUCAGGAUAAGUUUAACGAAGUCUACAGAACCAUUCUCCACAGCUAUGUGCAGGCAUGUUGAACGAUCAACAUUUGUUCCACGACAAGGAGCGUCUGGACAAUGGGUAAGGAGCUCUUGAGCAAUACGAACAUGGCCUUGAUCAGCAGCAACCUGAAGGAGAGUACGGCCAUCGCUUCUCCUUGCGUACGCUAAGCAAGGAUCAUGUUCCAGAAAUGUCACUAGCACGGCAACCAUGUUAUCACGGACAGCCUGACACACUGGAGUGUUGCCAGCAGGGUCGUGUUGCGUAGCCAGUAAAGGGCGUGCUCUCACAAUUAUUCCUGCAAUAACUGAAAACAAAGCCGGGAGAUUAUCCUCCUUUUGAAAAAAUAAAUAAAUCUGAACACAAAGCAACUAAAGCUAGGCAUGCAUGAAUGAUGGGUGUAGAUUUUAAACCCUAAAGGUGUAAAUACUUGUAGUUUAGUACUUCGAUCCUAAAUUCUUGUCGUGGUUUUAGUUUAAAUUUGUAGUAAAACCAUGACAAGAAUUUAAGAUCGGAGGGAGUACCUUGGAGUGUGGGUAUGCUAGCUUAGUGGAGUACCACUGCUACAUGUCAACAGAAAGGUAUGCAUUCUCACUUGUGAAUCUGAUAUAAUAUUAGUAUUUCUUCGAUUAAAUUUGGUUAAUAUAGUUAUGAAUGAAAUAAAUAUUGAUAUUGUAAGGAAAUUUUAUUGAUGCAGCACAAAAAUUGAAUUUGUCUCACCAUUGUUUCCAUUUCUGACGGCUGCGUGCAGAGCAUUCUUGCUGCAUGGCCCCACGUCAAGAGAACCAGGAGUAGCUAACAGUCCGACCACAACAUCCUGGAAAUCUCUCAUGGCGGCGGCGAACAUGGGUGACUCGUUGUAAUUGUUCUGAUGCGCCGACAGAGCAGGCUCGAGAGCUAUCAACCUCAGGGCAACCUCCCUGUGGCCGCGGCGAAUGGCAUGGUGCAGCACGUUGCAUCCAUCAUUGUCCUGCCUCAAGAUCGCCUGACUCGCCUGCUCCCUGCGGUGAGCAGGGCCGUUAUUCCGAAGGGUAGUGUAAUGUUGGAGCAAGACAGUCGUAGCUGCAUCGACGGAGCCCCUUCUAACUGCAGUGGCAAGCGGCGUCUCCCCAUCCGAGUUUGUCCCGGUGAAGAGAGCGAGAGGGAGAUAAUCACUAAGCUGCACCGCAAAAUGGCAAUAUCCUUCAUGGCCAUGGAUGGAGGCUAUGUGGAGGCAGUUAUUCCCCAGUGGGGUUGUUCCCAGGAGAAUUUCUUGACCCGCUGGACCGUUAAUUGCAUUAUUCCCUAAUACACGGGUUAGACCAUCCCUGGCGUCUUGCAGGAGGUCUGCGCGCAUCCACGGGCCUGGCCCUGGCCCUCCCCCUCCUCCUCCUCCUCCCUGCGCCCCUGCCGCUCCCCCCCCCCCCCCCCCCCCACGCCUGGGCCGCCCUGCGGCGGUGGCGGUGGCGCUCCUCCGAAGAUCUCUGCUGCUCCUCCUCCUGCACCCACCUGCGCUGCUGGCACUGCUCCAUCCGCCAUCUGUGUUUGGGGCAAGCUCUGCUCCUCCUCCUCUUUCUCCUGGCACCAGAUUACUGCAUGCAGACAAAACAAAAACACAAAGAAAAUAAUAAGAGCAAAGAUGGAGAAUGUGCACAAGUUUAAUUCAAUGAGGAUUAAUUUUGCAGAUCUGUAGAGCAGUAUACCCACCUCACAGAACUUGCGCGCUAAUGCUGGAAGAUUGUGGAUGGGGAAUGGCUGCUUUGGAUCGUAAGUAAUUCAGUCAUCACUUCAGCGGGCUAUUUAAAGUGGCUUGGAGCUCGAUCCCCUCACCAGGUCCUAAUUAAAAAUUUGUACUCCACUAGGAGUAGUACUACUAGUACUCCAUGACACCCUGACUGACGCACAGAAUUCCGACAUCUUUUUCGUUUCUCUCCCGCGCGCGCGGCCAGAGAGCGCAGUACUGUGAAUACCAUGUGCUUCCAUAAUUUCUCUCGCCAACUUGCAAUAUUGCAUGUGGUGCAUCUAAUUGAUUUCCCCACCAUCGCUUUGGUGCUGGAUUUGAACCGCCCGGGUCAAAGAAAAAAUUGCUAAACCCCGCCGGCCCUGUGCUUUCCUACUCAUGUGUCAUGUAUGUCCACACUUUAUUUUGUCCUCCCGCCCCCAUGAAAUCAUCAAGAACGUUGCUCCAGCUUGGAGAUCCAGCAGCUAUAGCUCAGGGACAAUCAAUGGAGGCGGCGGAGAUAGGUGCCGGGUGGAGGCUGAAUAGAUUAAUUAAUUGUUGGGAGUGUAUAUUUUUCAGUAGUAUAAGAAAUAGUUAUUUCUCAGUCGAACAAUCAUAACCAUCCAAUGAAGAUUUUUUAUCCAUCAAAACUACAUCAAUCUUACACGAACCUCAAUGAUUGAAUUAAAAAGUUGUUAUCAUCGACUAAGAAAUACUCCCUUCGUUUUGUCGCUGUAUGGAGUACACUGACGACGUUUUCUUUCUUCAACCUCGAUGGCCCCUCCGGCCACUCCAACAAUUAACGGUUUUGCUAUAACUACCACCUUCGUCUCAUAAUUCUUGUCGCUGUUUUAGUACAAAAUUGAACUAAAACAGCGGACAAGAAAGAAAAAGAAAGACGUGGCCGGGUUGCAUUGCAUCAUUUCUCUCGACAUCUUGCAUUUGCAAUUUGCAUGUGGUGCAUGCGUGCAUCUAAUUGAUUUUCCCAUCGCUUUUGCGCUACAUCGAACCAGCCGGGUCAAAGAAAAUACUGAACCACAGCUAGUGCUUAAUUUUCUACUCCAGUCUGUCCACACACUUUAUUUUUCCCUUAUUUUCUACUCCAGUCUGUCCACAUCGAACCAGCCGGAUCAAUUUGCAUGUGGGAACGGGGACUUUUAGUGAACUUGAAAAAUGAUCAACCAAGGAGCUCCAAAAAAGCCACUUUCACUUAGUAAAGCGUGCCUGCGGAUCUGUCAAAUGAGUUGACUGUGUUGGACCGUUUCAAAUUUAGGUGGGCCCACAUAUGCCGGCGGCCUAGUUAUAUGUGGCCAUCGGACAGGGCCAUUACAAGCCUGGAGGCCUGGCGACGGGCUAGGCCCGGCACAAAUCUAAUCGGGUCAGGCCGGCCCGUGAGCAUGCAUGUGGCGCGCUUGGGCUUCAUCCCUAAGCCUCGGGGCCGCGGCGGCACGGCCCGAUUAAGUAUUUUUUUCCUAUAUUUGGCCCAUAAUCUAUCUAAAUUUUGGUUCAAGCCAACUUAUUUGGCCCAUUAUUUGUCCAGUUUUGGCCCAUUCUAACUUUUUUCUAUUUUUUUUCUUAUCUGGGCCCUAUGCACUGAUGGGCUUUUCUAAGGCCCGCUAGGCUUCAGGGGCUGGGCCGGCCGGUUUGGGGCCUGGCGCCGCCCUUGGGGCGCAAAGGGGACCUUUUGUGGUCGGGCCAGUGGCCACCUAUAGGCCUAGUGUCAUGGACCAUUUGAAGCAUCUUGGACCAGGGCCCCAGCUUCCCGUAAAUUUUCAUUUUCGAUCAGCUCUUCCUCUCUCUGUUAAAACCUACUCACUUUAUUUGUUUAGAUUUGUUUGAGAUGAAGUUUAUAUUAUUCUUGUGCGGUAGCCAUUGCCUAUUUUACGUCAUCUCGUGCGGCAGACAUGCUCUACAUAUUGUGCAUCAUCUUAAAAAGCACAAACUAUUUUUUUAACGGCCGGGGAGAUGUGUUACUUAAUAAGAAUUCGAUUAAAAUCAUUCUCCACUCGACACACUAGAACACCAACGGGCAAUACCGUGAGCUGCCUCAUUAGCUUUACGAUCGACCUUACGGCAAGAGAUACCCAGAUCAAACGUUAAAGAAGACUUGAUCAUAGCAAUGACGCCACAAACAGAAGAUCGGUCCAUCUCAUUGCUGUUGAUGGCUUGGAUGACGGGAGAGCAGUCACUUUCUACAAACAGCGGCUGGUUAGAGAGAGGACGUGAUGCUUUCAAACCUUCCAGCACAGCCAGAGCUCCAGCCAUCUCAGCGUGUUCUACAUGUAAUAGAAAUUCUAUUAAUAUGGGACGGAGUACUUUAGAUAAAAGAGGCAAAUUUUCAAGGACAGAAAAAGAAGCCAUGCAUGUAUGUUCUUGGUCUAUAGCACAGUAUAUAUAAGGAGACUUAGCAGUUUACAAUGUGCAUACUUCAGUUCCAAUUUCUCAGUGUUUUCCCAUGCUGCAACUCCUAAUCUAAUUUCAAACAAUGAAUGAGAUGUGCUUAUUCAGUUUGGUGCUCUGCUUGUCAUCCCCAUCUUGUUCGAUUUCUCCAACAUAUUGGACUCAGAUCCUUCAGUGCUAGUCCAUCCUCUUGUGGUGUGGUAAAAUACAUGCAUGGUAGUGACGCAUGGUGGCACCGUAACUGUAACGAGAGAAAUAAAUCUGAACAUAUGAAGAGAGUGGAAACAGUGGUUCAUGCAUUAUAUCAGAUCCAUCUCACAAUGACUCUGGUCAACCUCCUCAAUUGCCACCGGGAACUUUUUAUGCAAAGUUAAAGGAGCAGCAAAAGCCAACUAUCCAAAUACAUCGCCUCUAAAUACUUUUUAUGCAAGUAGUAACCAGAGUUCCAGAUGAAUAUUCUGCCUCAGGUCACCUUGAUGGAGAGGAGUAAGAACGGUGCAGGGCUUGAAGGGCACAUGCGUGGUUAUCGUACCCCCCCCCCCCCCCCCCCUCUAUGAACUGAACUUGAACUUGCAAAAAAAAAAACGAGACAGAAAAGGGGAAUUACGUUACACAUACAUAUAAGCUCCACAUAUAGAUCUGACACAAAGAUAGAUGCAUAGCUGGAUACUCGAUCCAGAUGAUUACAGAUAAACAGAUGGAUCGACGAGAACGAUCGACCAAAAGUCUUAUUCUUGUCUUACGAAACUGACUUAAACGAUUAUACUAUAAUACCACUAGCACUUGCAUCAUCCAUGUGGCCUGAUCUGCAUGCAUGGAUGGAAACAUCGGUCUCCUUCAGGCAUUAAUUGUACUUUUAUGAUUGUGGAACCUCUAAUCACUUACGGCGUUUUAUGAAAAAACUAUCAUGAUUAGAGGUGAUCUAAGGGGCUUUUCAUAAAAUGUGUUACUAAGUGAAUAGAGGUUCCACCUUUCAUCUGAUUCAUUUAUUUGAGAUUUAAUGGUUAAGAUUGCCGGUUUCAAGUUUUCACCGAGCGAAGGUUUUCACCUGAUAUGUCCUUUUGCCACAUGGUUUAUUUAUUUAUAUGUGUAUCUUUUUCUUUAAGAAUGAAUAGUUCUCAUACUGUAUCAUGAAAACACUAGUUGUAUUUCUUUUUUUUCUCAAAUGAUGUGGUGUACUUAAGUUAUCUCAUUAAUUUGAAAGUUGCUAAUUUUUCUGCCUUUAAUAUGUUGUUCCUCUGAGUUGACUAAUUUUGUAUAUGUAUACUAGGAAGAAGACAACGUAUUCAACAAAGUACGUAGAACAACAAAACCCAGAUGAAAUGGAUGUGGGAAAUUAAAUCAACAAGAAACUGAUCAUGAAGUAGAACAUAGUAGAGAUGAUAUAUGUGGAAGAUGGUGUAUAUGGGCAUCUUGUUAGACAAACAUCCUCGCCUAGCUAGAAGUGAAUUGUUUGCAUCCCACAAAAUAGAUACAUUGGUGGAGGAUGUCAAGUGGCUUCGAAAUUGCCAGAAUGAUAUUCUUUAGAUGGUGGGCAAACAGAAGCCGCCAGAAUGGAAUCGAAGGAGUAUACCUAUAUCAACGAUGUUUACCAAGUUUACGUAAGGGCUCUGAAUUCGAUGUUCCACUAGAUGUAAAAUUCGUCCAGAAAAUUGCAUUGGUGAACAAAUCCAUUUUUUCAUAAAAACAUAUUUUGCAAUCAAAAAAUUUACCUUCAUCCACCGGAGUUAAACGUACAAAAUGGAAUGAUUUAUUAGAACCUAAAGUAAAGAAUGUAUUAAUGUCUGUGUUGGAAUAGAUGUACUUUAGGAGGUAAAAUCUUUGAGAUGAGAAAUGGUUGAUUAUUGAUAUAGUUUGAUACAUGUGUAAAUGGGGUGCUACCUGGCCUAUUUUUAGUGAUACUAUGUCAACUUCUCUCAUAUAUUUCUAUAUAUACUUCUUAUACAAUAUCUAUAUAAAUAACCGCGGAAAAAAUAUCAUUUAUUUUGUUUAACCUAUAUGAAGUUUGAUGUCAUCACUAAUCAUAUAGUUGAUCAAGCUAUAGUUGGGGUUCUUAUAUCAAAGACUUACAUUAAUUAGUUCUUCUUCGGUGUCUAUUUGCUCUUACUACCUUACUAUGUGGCUACUGGCAGAAGUUAUAUUCUAUUUUUUCAUGUUCAUAAAUUUAUCAGUAAUUUAUCGAUUUCUAUAUUCAUUUAUUUUUCACGUACAUUUUUAUUGAUAUCGAAAUAAAAUAGUUGAAUAACGUUUUUGCAUCAUAUUAUGUGAACCGCUACUUAUUAUUACAAUACUGAUCUUCUUAUUGUCACUCGUUAUUUUGUUCCUGUCAACAUUGUAAAUCUCAACACUGAAUUACAUGCUUUGGUCUCAACAACAAGCGUCGGUUUAUAUUUCUGCAGUUUCGUCAUGGGAUUCGCUCGAAUAUCAAAUAUUUUCUGUUCAGAAAUCUUCCACUACAAAGUAUAUAUGUGUUAUAUGCUUACCUCUAUAUAUCCUGACAUUCUGGAUAUGUGGCAUCAUUGUCACGCAUACUCUCCGUACACUACUAAACUUCAUCGGUUUUGCACUUUUUUUAGGGUUUAUGCCAUUGUGUGUCUUAGCCAUCAUAUUUGUCUGUCUAAAGUUGCCGGAAACAAAAGAUAUUCCUAUUUAGGUUAUGGCAGAAUUCUAUGCACUUGAACAUCUGGUCACACCAAAUAAACUCAUGUCGUGUGUGGUUAAUUAUUUUGAAUGUUCCUAACAUAUCAUGAACUGGCACAUUACUUUUCUAGUUAUUUUUAGUUGUUGUUCAUAACGUCAUUAACUAAAAAAUGACUUCUCUAGAAGCCAAAUUUCUAAUAUCAAGAAUUAAUAGAAAUAGUUUGCAAAAUUUAUAUACACACAUGUAAAAUGACUAUCCAAAAUAAACUACUCAGGUGAAUUGGAAAGCUCCUUUGCCAAUUCACCUCUCUUUCUGGCUACAAAUGUUUGAUCGACCCACCGAGCAAAUAUGUGUUGAACACAAUAAACAAUGAAAUCAGCAAAGUCGAUGGAUGUCAACAUUCAGAUGCACCAUGUCCACCAAUCUCCAUUUCAUCAUGCUCGACAUUGAAGAACCGAGUGUACAAAUGACAAAGCACUAGUCAGCCCGAGUGAAGUAGGACAAUCUAAUAUAUUGUUGGGUAGAUAAUGAAAGAACUAGCUAUCUAUUGAGAUUCUAAUGUUUUUUCUUACAGUACAUGUUGAUAUAUGUAACUCACAAACCGAGUUCAGAAACGCAAUUUGAAUGAUAUGUUGUUCUGUGUCAUUGUAUAGCUCAUGCUCUAGCCAUUUUGCAAUGUUUUCCGAUCCAGUAUAUAUCAUAUGUUGUAGAGAUAUUUUUAUUUCCAGAGAGAUCACUAGCACGGAACGACCGUUAGUGGCGUGCAGAAAAGUGGGUUAGUGGAGAUAUAUGUCUCCAUGCUUACCGAUCUAAAGAGGUAGAUAUUUGACAGAAGAAACAAGACUUUUCACAACAUACGUACAUUACUCAUACAUGUGUGAGUAUUGCUGACAUGUGUGGAAACAUAGUAUGUUGAGCCGGCACCGAUAAUAAACACUUUGGUCAUGAACUUGUAAUGUGUGAGCACUUUGAUACAUGAACUUGCAAAUGGUUCAAUCAAUUUCAUAAACCUGUUUUGCAAGAACACUUUGGUCCAAACUGCGCCAACUAGGUUGGUUCAUCCAACGUGGCAUGCUGACUUGGCACUGGGCGUACGAUGUCAAAAUCAUCUUUUUUUUCUGAUGGUAAACCAUCUAGUUGAUGAUUGAAACCUUUGAGGUUCUAAACAGAUGUAUUAAUUCUUCAGGUUUUUUAUUUUAGAGCCUCUUUUCGUUUAAUAAUAAUGAAGUACUGUCCUGCAUUAGUAAACCAUGAUGAUUGAAACAGUGAACUACUCGCUCCACGCAGGGAGGAACGGAGGGAGUAAUACUUAGCAAACUUCGUCGGGUGGUUUGCUGUGUGGGACGGAUAUGCACUAACACCACGAUAAAUAUCUUAGGAACGGCGGAGGGAGCAUUUCUUUUUUCUGGCCAAAACAGCACCAGAGCGGGCCAUUAAAUGCAAAACUAUAACCAGAGGUAAACAGUGGAUGAGAGCUCGGCUAGCUCAGCUCCAGCUUUUAGUAAAAAAAACUGGGACUACAAUCUGCGUGCCAGGUGGGUCAACAUUACUCCCCGGUCAUCCAUGUAAAGACUUGUGAGAUUGAGAAUGCAUCUAGAGGCCCAUAGCAAGAUAUCGUUUUGAGUCAAUUACGGUAUGGAGCCCCUGGGCCAAGGGGUAGCACGUAAAUGGACUCGAAUGUACGUAGAGACUGCAGUUCAUCCAAAACCAGUUGGACAGAUGCAAUGUUGUAAAUGAGUAUUGGUUUUUGACACUCGUCAGGUUAAGUAAUUCUUGGAUUAUACAGCUGGACCGAGUUGCGGGACUGGACAAUUUUUAUUUUAUUUUGCAAACGUUACCAGAAGUAUUGUUUUUCCAAUAAAUUAAUGGCUGAGAUUCAUUUUUCUUGUCUUCAUCUGUACUCGUGAGUUGUGUCGAGAUUACAGCGAGUCAGGGACACGUAUAUGAACUGAACCUAAAACUUGCCCAAAAAAAAAACGAGACAGAAAUUGGAAUUACAUUACAUAUAUAUAAACUCCAGAUAAAGAUCUGACACAGAUAGAUAGCUGGAUACUUUGAUCCAGAUGAUUACAGAUAAGACAGAUGGAUCCACGAGAUCGACUGAAAGUCUUAUUCUUGUCUUAUGAUAACUGACUGAAACGACACACUAGUUGGUACUACUAGUCUUGCAUCCAUGUGACCUGAUCUGCAUGCAUGGAUGGAUCCAUCGAUUUGCUCAAGUUGAGUUUCACUUGCAGGUGCACGGGUUGCAGGUGCAGUUGUCCCCGCACUUGCAGCCUCCGUUCUCGGCUCCGGCGGCGGCGGCCUCGAAGCCUGACUUGGUCGCCGGCGGCGCAACGCCCAUGACGA
rnacentral:lncRNA from 1 species